CCUAAGACCCCUUCUUUUAGUCUUCUUAAGACUUAACACAACAGAACCCUAGGGAGAGGGGCAGCCGUUUCUGAUGGUGAAUACACAAGACAACCAUCAUCUUCUUCACAAAAAAAAAAACCUAAAGCCUAUCAUCUCUAACCUUUAGCUACCUUCUUCUUCAUGUUCCUUACACAAAAAACCUAGAGCUAGACCUAGCAGCUGCAGAAAGAAAACGAAGCAACAGCUACACAAAAAAGAACUCCUCCAUAGCAGCCUAAUGCCACUAGCACACGCAAGAUCCAGUCGUCGCUCCAUCCCCCCCCCCCCCCCCAUCGCCGUUCUUCCUCUUCACCUGUCACCAAACCAGCGAACAUCCUCUUUCUUCUUCAACCUAUUUUCCCUUCACAGAACCAGUAGCCCGCCGAAAAUUCACAGUUUCCGCACCAGCCCUACACACCACCGCAGCAGAACCGGCGAACACACACUCACUCACUGCUACCAUUCCACCCUCUCACAUAUGCCGAUACCAUAAGUGGUCAAAAAUCCAGCAGAAACAGUGAUUGAAACGUGAGAAGGGAGCAGAGACAGAGCCGAAAAAAAUACAUUAUUCUGUUUUCUUCUUAAGUAUUUCUUUGAUUUUCGUCUGAAAAUUGGAGUUCCGUCGGGGUUUCGAUUUGGUUUAUUUACUCAUGUGCGAAUACUGUAAUCGAAUGGCUGUCACUCUUUAAGGUUAAUUUCCUUCUUUGAUUUUUAAUUCUCCUCUCUAUUAAUCUUCCAUGAUUAUGAAUGUUGUGUAAUUGUUCUAUUGUUUCGCUGCUUGUCUAAAACUUUCUUCAUUUGAUUUAUUUAUGUUAUAAUCUUCAUUGAUGUGUUAUUUGUGAGAAGACAUGAAUUAAUGGUUGGAAUUUUAUUGAGUAUGAUAUGUUUGGUUAAGCUAUGACAAUAUUUGGAUUUGGAAGCAAAAGAGAGGUUUUGGUUUCUUGGCAAAAAUUAUCUAUGGUAGAGAACUCAAAGUUAAAUGAGUUGAUAUUUUUUUAAAAAGGUUUCUAUUAUUUUUUACUUGCUUCUUUUAAUCUGGUAGUUAACAACAUCGUAUGUUGAUUUUUAAAUGAAAUUGAAGUUGGAUUUUGGGUUUUUGUUAGUAACGAGAAUGAAUUUGGGAAUAAAAAGGAUUUUAUUAUUCUCGUCUCAUUUUAAUUACUAGGUUCUCUAAGAGCAUACUUAGGCCAUUAAUAUUCAUAAACAUCAUAGUUUGCUUUAGGAGCGCUAUAAUAAAUCAUCAUAGCUACGGGUACGGUUCUUAUGACGUAGUUGUGAUACGUAAUUUUCAAAUCCGGGUGCACAUUUCAUGUGACCUGACCACAAUUUCUAAUAAUGUUAAUAAAUUAAACAUGUUGUAGAUCGUGGGAAUGAUUUCCGUGACACGAUUCACAAUGUGUNNNNNNNNNNNNNNNNNNNNNNNNNAGUUGAGCGACCGUGCUAAAACUACGGAACCCGGGAAUGCCUAACACCUUCUCUCGGGUUAACAAAAUUCCUUACCUGGAUUUCUGUGUCUGCAGACCAUAGAUAAGAGUCAAAACCUUCCUCGAUUAGGAAUUUUAAACCGGUGACUUGGGACACCAUAAAUUAUCCCAAGUGGCGACUCUGAGUUUGAAAAAAUAAUCUUGUUUCGAUUAUUGUCACUUUAAUUGGAAAAACUCCCCUAUACCACCUUUUUGGGUAGAAAAGGGAGGUCUAAUAUCCGCCAUUUGGUUUUCACUCCUUUUUUGAUCAAUGAUUUCAAGGUCAAACUCUUGAAGCAGAAGAAAUCAUCUCAUCAACCUAGCCUUAGAGUCUUCUUUUGUCAUCAAGUAACGAAGUGCCGUGUGAUCGAUGUGCACAAUCACUUUGGUACCCAUGAGAUAUGGCCUGAACUUUUCCAUGGCGAAGACAAUGGCUAGUAACUCUUUCUCGGUCACCAUAUAAUUGACUUAGGCGUCAAUCUUCAUUUUGCUUGCGUAAUAGAAUUGAUAAAAUAUCUUGUUGAUCUUUUGCCCCAAAACUGCUCCUACCGCAACGUCACUAACAUCGCACAUGAGCUCGAAUGAUAAGCUCCAAUUGAGUGCGGUGAUAAUGAGAGUGGUAGUCAAUCUAUACUUGAGAAGCUCAAAAGCUUUCAUGCAUUCAUCAUUUAACAAAAACUUUGCAUCUUUUUCCAACAACUUGCACAAGAGAUUUACCACCUUUGAGAAAUCCUUGAUGAACCAACGGUAGAACCCCACAUGCCCUAGAAAACUCCUAACUCCCUUGACGGAAGUAAGAGGAGGGAAUUUUGAAAUCACUUUAAUCUUUUCUUUGUCCACUUCAAUACGUUCUUUGAGAUCUUAUGGCCGAGGACAAUGCCCUCCUCAACCAUAAAGUGGCACUUUUCCUAAUUAUGCACUAGGUUGGUCUCUUCACAUCGGGACAACACUUUGUCAAGAUUGCCUAAGCGUUCUUCAAAAGAGUCACCCACAAUACUAAAAUCAUCCAUGAACACUUCGAGAAAGUACUCUACCAUAUCCGUAAAUAUUGCCACCAUACACUGCUAAAAGGUAGCUGGUGCAUUACAUAAACUAAACGGGAUCCGUGAGAAUGCAAAGGUGCCAUACGGACAUGUGAAGGUGGUUUUCUCUUGAUAUUCCAUUGCAAUCAGAAUCUGGUUGUAACCUAAGUACCCAUCCAAAAAGCAAUAGUAGGCAUGCCCGGCAAGUCUAUCCAACAUUUGGUCAAGAAAGGGCAAUAGAAAAUGGUCUUUGCGGGUCACUUUGUUUAGCUUCCAGUAAUCUAUGCAUACCCUCCAUCCGGUGACCGUCCUAGUGGGGAUCACCUCAUUUUUCUCAUUUGUAACCACAGUCUUACCCCUCUUCUUUUGGCACACAUUGCACAGGUAAAGUCCAUGAACUAUCCAAAACGGGGUACACAACCCCUGCAUCUAGCCACUUGAUAAUUUCCUUCUUUACGACCUCUUGCAUGGCCUCAUUCAAGUCCCUUUGAUGUUCGACGGAGGGUUUGGCAUCAUCCUCUAGUAAUUUUGUACAUGUAAAAGGCAGGGCUUAUACCCCGAAUGUCAGCCAAAGUCCAUCCAAUUGCCUUCUUCCUUCUUUGGAGCACCGCAAGGGUGGCAUAUACCUGCACGUUAGUUAAGCACGAAGAAAGAAUAACAGGUAAAGUUGAAUAAGGGCCUAAUAAUUCAUACCUAAUGUGUGAAGGCAAAGGCUUCAACUCCAAUGUGGGAAUCUCCUCGAUUAAGGGCUUUGUUGGUGGAGUCUUCCGGUUCUCAAGGUCCAAGGAAAGUUUUCGGGGAUCAUAUGUAUAUGAACCCAUUCCUCGUAAAAUAGUGAUACAUUCAACUAAGCCUUCAUCCUCGGUCACAUCAGGGUUCAACAACACAACUUCUAAAUGGUCCUCCACAUUAAUCAUAGCACUGGUGUCUUCAACAAUCACCUCGGUACAAGAUCCACAAACAAACAUACAUCGUUGCUAUUGGGCUACCUCAUUGACUUGCAGACAUGGAACACAAAUUUUUCAUCACCCAUCCGUAAGGUAAGGUCCCAUGCUUCCACAUCAACUAACGGCUUCCCUAUAUCUAGUAAAGGUCUUCCCAAUAUGACUGGCACCUCAUAGUCAACCUCGCAAUCAAGUAUCACAAAAUCCGCGGGAAGUAUGAACUUGUCAACCCGAACUAGCACAUCAUCAAUGAUCCCCAAUGGUCUCUUCAUUGUUCUGUCCACCAUUUUAAUGUCAUGGAAGUGGGCCUUAGUUGCCCAAUCCCCAAUGUCUUGAACAUAAAAUAUGGCAUCAAGUUAAUGCUUGCCCCCAAGUCGCACAAAGCUUUGGCGAAAUCGACAUUACCAAUAGUGCAAGGGAUUAUAAAGUACUGGGGUCCUCUAGCUUUGGGGCCAUGGCGUGUACAAUGGCACUCACUUGAUGCGUCCUCUUGAUCGUUUCACAAAUCAUGGAUCUCUUCUUAGUUACAAAGUCUUUUAUAAACUUGGCAUAUCCUGGCAUUUGUUCUAGAGCUUCCACCAAAGGUACAUUUAUGGACAAACUUUUCAUCAUAUCAAUAAAUUUCUUGAACUGGUUCUCAUUAUUUUGUUUUUCAAGCCUUUGAGGGUAUGGUGGAGGAGGCCUUGGCAAAGAAGCCUUGGCUUUGGCCACUACUGUUACUGGUAUGUCUACCGCGUGUUCCCUAGAAGGGUUCACAUCAUUUUGUGUCUCCUCCACGUUGUCAUCAAUGUCAAUUCUCAUUUCUUCAUUCACAUUCUCAUCACUCACUUGCACAUCAUUGUUUGGCUCAUCAUCAUCUUGUACCAACACAUCAUCACUCACAACCUUUCUUGCAUUAGAGGUACUAGCAACUCCUCAUCUACCACUCCUUGUAAUCACUGCCAUAGCAUGGCUCGUAUUGUUUCCUCCCUUUGGGUUUACUACCGUGUCACUAGGUAGUGCCCCUUUACAGCGAGUAUUCAAAGCUUGAGAAAUUUGGCAAAGUUGGACUUCCAAGUUACGGAUAGAAGUAUUGUGGGAUGCCAAUUAGGCAUCAUAGUCGGCAUAUUUCUUCAUCAUUUGCUCAAAUAUUGACUCAAUCCGUCCCAUCUCAUUGUUGGACGAGCUAGGACCUUGUGAUGGAUAUUGAGGUGGGUUGUUUGGUUGUUGAAGAAUCGGAGGCCUUUGAAAGCCUGACCCCUGAUUCCCUUGAUUAUUAUUCCAACCCCCUUUGAAAGGUCUUCUUCUUCUUCUUCUUCUUCUUCUUCUUCUUCUUCGAGUUUCAAUCUAGAAAUUCCAGCAAAACUAGUCUAAUCUUCACCAAGACCCUCAAAUUGAGAUAUAAACUCCAAACCAUAUUCUCAAUUANNNNNNNNNNNNNNNNNNNNNNNNNNNNNNNNNNNNNNNNNNNNNNNNNNNNNNNNNNNNNNNNNNNNNNNNNNNNNNNNNNNNNNNNNNNNNNNNNNNNNNNNGAAUUCAAAGCUUCAAAGCUUUUUAAUGGCUGUCAAUGGUGGAAUUGUUGCUCUCUUUUCCUUUGCUUUGUUUACUGAAAUUUGGGAUUGAGAGAUAGAGAGAGACGUAGAGAGAAUUCUCAAUUCUUUGCAACAACAUCCAGUCCAAACAAACAAAUGUCUUUUGAAAACCCAAAUUCAAAUUCAAAGCUUCAAAGUUUUUUAAUGGUUGUCAAUGGUGCAGAUUUUCGCUGGUUUUAGAAGCGGAAAUCGUGGGUGAUUGAAGAGGAAAUCGUGGGGUGUGGUUUGAUACGUGAGUGAGGUGGUUGUAAAAUAUCUAGAAGAAUAUUUAAUUCCCUAAUAUUAGCGCCCCUUAAUAAGGAAGCCUACAGCUACAAUGAUUCCUUAUUUAAUGAAUUAUCUAUAUUUUGUAGAAAUAUUAUUAUCAUGGCGGGUAAUAUGCAAAACUAUGAAUAUAUAUGGUAAUAUAAUUUCCUAUAUGGUAUAGGAACGAAACUUUCCCUAAUUUUAAAUGGUUGGAUCAAGAUGGGCUGAGUUUAAUAAAUGAGCAGGUCAAUAACCAACUCAACCUUGAACGGGUUGGGCGGAUCAUUUGAGCUUGGGCCAAAUUUGACUGCACUCUUUGCCUUCAAUCAACAAAUGCAUCAAUUCUUUUUAAUUUAUGAGACACUUUAUUUUUACUUUAUUAAUUUAAAAUAUUAGACAUCAGUAUAUUUUUAUAAAAAUUUUAUAAUUUUUAAGAAUUCAAUUUUAUAGAUUUUCUAAUUUUAUAUUUUAUUGUGAUAGAUUAUCAUUCGAACCAACUUUUCAACAAUUACUUUAGUGUUCAUGACGAUCACUAAUAUAACUUUUUAAGUCGAUAUUGUCAAUUAGUGCCAAGGGGCAAAAGGUUCUUAACAUUUAGUUUUUGAACCUGAUUCCUGAUAUUUGUGUUCCUAAAUAGCUCCUCCGGUCUUAUUUACUUGCCAUUUUUGCUAAAAAUCAAAACACUUCUCGUUUUAGAAAGCAGCUUCAUUGAUCAUUAAAUAAUAUUGAAUGCCAAUUUGAUGGUUGGAGGGUACAUAUAUGCAUAUUUCGUUAUUCGAGGAAAAAGAUGGUCUCUUGGGGGAGAUCCAAUUGCAUAAACGAAUGAAAAAUUAUUAAAAUUAGAGAGUGCAUAAUUUGAUUACUGCAAGUGAUUUCAGUGUAAUUUCUCCAAACUAAGUAUAACUUUUAUCUAAUCAAUUCUAAGCUGAUCGAACAAACACACUUUUUUUUGGAAGAAAUUGAUUUUGUUAUAGAUGUAUUUUACUUAUAGUUAAUGUCUAUAUUUUAGAGAGAUUUUAGGAUUUGUUACUUGGUGGCUAAGUUACUUUCCCCUAUACAUAGAGGGUUCUAUUCCAUUAUAAUUUAUUCCGUAUCAAUACGAAUUAUCUCUCUACUUUUCUCUGCAGUACUCUUCUUCUUCCUAUAUUGUUUAUAACAUGUUAUCACCACGAGACUCAAACCAACUGAGUAGAGGCAUCUCCUUUGAUCGCCAGGCUUGCGAUACUUGCAUGAUUCUUAACUUGUACAUAAUAUUGAGCAUAAUGAUUGUCAAUUAUUCCAUGAACUUCCUUCGUGAAUAAAUUAUGGAUUUAAGGUAAGUAUUUUACCUUAUUUUUCUCUUUUAAAUUCUUGAAAUUCUAUAAUUUAAUUUUAAAUACAAGUAAAGACAAUAAAUUUUGAUUAUAACUCUAAUAUAGUUUGUAAGAAAUUAUAACCACUCGAAGUAGUAAAAUUUCUCUGUCUUGCAAUGAUCAAAUUCAUGUCUGAUUGUGAGCACAAAAAGUGAAAACCCACCCUAUUGAAUUUGCUUCAUUCUCAGUCCCUUAAGAGAAUGUGAUAGCAGUAUGUAAUAAGUCUGAAAGAAGACAAAAUUAUUACCAUGAAUAGAUGUAGACAUGCCAAUAAAUGAAAUUAUUGUGACGACCAGACUGGUCGUUUUGCUUUCUAGAAUACUGUUCCCUUAAAUAAGACUUUUCGUACUUGCUUUUAAUGAUUUAUGACUUGCGGGGAUGGUUGGUUCAGGAUUUGGAAGAGUUUGGGUUGAAAUCGAAACACUUGGUUCCUUAAGGUUGGCUUAAAAGGCCAAGUUUGACUUAGGUCAAUAUUUUAAGUAAACAACCUGAAAAUUAGAAUUUGAUGGUUCUAAUAGGUUCGUAUGAUGAUUUCGGACUAGGGCGUAUGCCUGGAUUGGGUUUUGGAUGACCCGGGAGCGUUUCAGCGCCUAAUAGUGAAAGUUGGUUCUUGAAUGUUUUAGAAGUUCUUUAAAUUUGGUUUAGAGCGGGUUUUGGUGUUAUCGAGGUCCAAACAGAAUUUCGAGACCGGGAAUAGAUCUGUAAUGUCAUUUAAGACUUGCACGCAAAAUUUGGUAUCAUUCAGAGUAGUAUAAGUACGUUUCAGCAUGUUGGAGGUGGAUUGAAGAACUUGAAGUUCAUAAGUUUGAUUCAAUUGGUUUUAGGGUAUGAUUCUUAGUCUGAAUGUUGUUUCGGCCGUUCUGAGGGUUCGAACGAGUCCGUUUUAUGAUUCCAAACUUGUCAGUAUGCUCGGGCGGGGCACCAGGGGCCCCGAACAUCAAUCGGACGAGGCUCGAACUAAGUUGAAAAUUUGAGAAAGAGCUGAAGCUCCAGCUGCUGUCAUAACCGCACCUACGGUUGGCUAGUCGCAGAUCGGAGCUCGCUGGUGCGGGACUUGACUCACAGAUGCGGCCAAGGGUGGGCAGCCUAGAACCGCAGAUGCAGCCUUUUCUCCGCAGAAGCGGUAGGCCUUCCGCAGAAGCGGUAGGCCUUCCGCAGAAGCGGCCCCAACCGACCCAGUGAAUUCCGCAGAAGCGGACCAUUUAUCUGUAGAUACGAGGCGCAGGUGCGGCCCAUGACCGCAGAUGCGGAAAUCCCUGAAGGCAGUGGCCUUUAUUUAUUACGGGCCUUAGACAAUUUUGGUUUAUUUCAAUUCAUUGUUGGACGAUUUUAGAGCUUCUUGAGAGGGGUUUUUCACCAAGCUUUUGAAGGUAAGUAAUUCCUACUAUAUGUCAAUUAAAUACUUAGAUUUUGGGUAGAUUAACAUAUAAAGAUUACUGAAAAUUAUGGGAUUAAAGGAAAACCUAGGGUUUGGCAAGAAUGAGAUUUUUACCACGAAAAUUACCAUGAAAAUUAUUAAUAAUCAUAUAUCUAUGUUCCUUAGGUUAUGGGUAACAACUUUCUUCAAAAAUUUCUGGAAUCCGGGCACGUGGUCCUGGGGGUGAAAUUUAGGAAUCUUGCCUUUGGGGUUGGGUAAUCACCUUAAUAGCGAGAAUAUGAACUUGUGAACUUGUAAUGAUUGGUUUUUACACUAUUUGAAUAGUUUCGGAUUGAUCGGCUCCGGUUUGAGGGCUUGAGUGAAUUCUUGAGUUGGAAGUGGGCCCGAAACGAGGUAAGUCUCUUUUCUAACCUUGUUAGAGGAAAAUUUCCCCAUAGGUGAACUUAACUAAAUGUGAUUAAUUGUGGGGGCUAUGUACGCACGAAGUGACAAAAGUCCGUACGUAGCUACUAUUUCUGUUAUGUCCGGGUAGUUUUAGAUUUACACCAUGUUUUAUGGAUACUAUUAUUUUAUUAUAUGUGCUAAUUAUCAUGAAAGGAGUUAAGUUGAGGAAAUUCUAAGGAUUUAAAGGCUUCAAGUUGAAUUGUCUUCAUUUUUUAAAAAGAAUCAAGGAAAGGUUAUGAUAUUAAUGAUAAAAUUAUGUUUGACCACGUCGCUUGUAUGAUUCGCGAGCGGGGUUAUGUUUUUUUGCGUCGCAUGUAUGAUUCGCGAGCGGGGUGAAUAGAUGCAUCUAUGGUUCGUGCCGUUCGACCCUCGGUAUUGCACAGUUUACUUUAUGUUGGAUCAUGUCGAACGUCCUCGGUGAUAUUCAUGUGUGAUAAUAGAACUGAAAUCUCUUAAUAGUUUGUAUAAUUUUUUUUGUUGCUUGAAAGUUUACUUGUUCUUAAAUAAAGAAGGUGUUUCAAUUCUUAGACAUGAAGGAAGGAUUUUCCAGUUAUUAUUCUUGUUUUGAGCUUGUUGUUGUUAUCUACACUCAUCAUGAUUUAUGACUUGAACUUCAUAUUAUUAUAUUGGUGGCCCUAGUAAGUGUCGGAGUCAACCCCACGUCACUACUUCUUUGCGGUUAGACGAGAUACUUACUGGAUACAUAUUUUUAUGUACUCACGCUAAACUUCUGUAUUUGAUUGUACGGGCUUUGAGGCAGGUGCAUCUGGUGAUCGGGUCCAAGCCUGCACUAUUAUUGAGUAUCAAGGAUGGUCGAUGCAGUUUACCCAACAAAGGUCGGGAUCGAAUCCACCGGGAGUUAAUUAAUUUGGAGUUAGGUUUAUAUCCGAGUAGAGAUGCGGGUUUUUGCCCUUAAUUGCACUUUCACAAAUGGUUGGUUUUGUUUUCUACUUCUACUUCUAUUCUAUAACAUGCAAUAUUUAAAACUAAGUACAAUGUUUUUGUUGUUUGUUUUCAAGGAUUAAAAUGGACUAGGGUAGUGACUUCCGCCUAGGUGGAUAUCUAAUGGAUAUCAAGAAUCUAGGGCAAUCAUGUGAUUAGUUGGGGUCGUGAUAUGGCUAUCACACUCGGGUACUCACUCUAAUUUGCCUAAUUGGGGCCGUUUGGCUGCAUACAAAGGUGGACCACCCUUUCGCUUCAAAGCUGAGGGUGUUCUUGCUAUUGGGACUCCAGCUGUGAGCCAUGUUGUUGUCGUUCUAGGAGCUAAUAUCUCCGCCACCCAUGGACGGGCUGCUUCACCAAGUGCCAACUUUUCCAAAUAUUGCAAGCUUCCACAUUCUCGAAACCAACAUACUCAUUCAACGUCUUGCCAUCGAAUCGGAUCCUCAAAUUUCGGACCUUUGUCACAGUGGUUCCCUUUUUUAUGUGGGCAAUGUUUGCAUAGAAUUACUUGACAAGAUAUUCACUGGCAUCCGAAACCUUGCUGCUGAACCAUUUCCACCCUACUCUCUCGACAAACUACCUUUUUACAUUUGGAUUGUGGGGAAGGAGGUCUCGCUCUAUGAAUUGUCUCUCAAGGGUGAGUAACCUUUGGGGCCACCAUUCUCGGAAUUUCUGGUAGGCUAACUCACUCACAAAUCUGUGCUGCCACACCUCCGGUUUUCUUGACCUUUCCAAACCCCCAAAAAUAGUAUCACCCCCUAUCCCAUCAUCCGGGACCUCGUCAUCAUCAACAUUAAUAGGGGCAGGGGCAGCUGGUGAGGCCGAAGUUGUAGCAGGUGGGGAAGAUGAUACCGAAGCCUCACUACCUUCCUCUGAGCCAUCAAACGACUCAGAAGAGGAGGUAGAUUCAUCUCGUAACUGAUAUUACCCCUCAAAUUGUGCGGGGUAUGAGUGGGCACAGAAUCUCCUUCCGAAGCUUCCCGGGAAGGGACAUAUUCACUAGUGUCUGAGUGGUCGGUUGCUCUAUCCGCAGCUUUGAUGGUAGCUCUCAUAUUUCCAAUUGAUUUUUGGACUGCUAGGGGCAUUUUGGCCUUUCCUUUACCUCUGCCUCGGGAGGGUUCUACCCUCCCUUUAGAUGUAUCACCUCUACCUCGGGAUCGGACCAUUGUCUGCAGCAAACAAGCAAAGAGGGAUAGUCAGAACAAACUCCAAGCAUGUUAAAACAUUGCAUUUGAAAUGUAGAAACUACUUCUUAGAACCAGGCACCACAGACCGCAAAAAAGGAAGCGCAGCCGCAAAGUGCCCACCGCGGACCGCGAACAAGUAACGGUGGCCACAAAAAGAUUAGGAUCAGGCUACUAACUCUCUGAACUUUUAUCACCGCGGGCUGAAAAAAAUUAAACACGCCCUAGAAUGACCAACCGCGGACCGCAAAAAAGCAAUCGCGGACCGCGAACUUACAUACAUGCAGUUCCCAUAAAUUAGGAAAUGCGGACCGCGAAAAAAUGGACCGCGGACCGCAAAAUUCAAACAACACAGGCAUUGACUAACGUUUGUAACUUAGGGUUUUUCACUAAGUGCAAAAAUUUGUGCAAUUACAAGCAUAAUUAAUAACCCUAUUCCCCACAUGAAUAUAAGCAUCAAUUAAGCAUGAUUUUGAUUUUGGCAUGUAUUAACCCUAAUUAAAGAGAAAAAGUAAAAUAAAGAUGAAAGAAAAGAAAGAAAUAAAAGUAAAACAAGAAUUUGAGCAUACCAGUUGUGAGAUUUGUAGUAGAAAACUAACUCUUGAUUAGUAAUAAUUGAGAUUGAAAGCCAAAGAAAUGUUGAUGAACAGUGAUCUAGAGUGUUUGAAUGCAAGGGGUCGAGAAGGGGAAAAGGUCUAGGGACCUCGUACUUAUACUUAAUAGAUGGACCCCACAACUUACCUGAAUGCGUCCGCAAAAUUAUAUCACGGUACGCGUUCUUUUACCUUCUGAAAAGCCUUUUCAGAAACAAGUUUGUUGAGAGAGAUAAAAAGGGGCAUAACCGCGUAAGAUCAACGCCGACCGGGAAAUAAUGACUGUGGAUGCGAAUACAACUUUAGAGAGUUGAUAUUCUGGACUUUUCAAGUCCGCGUCCACUGACAAAUUGCAACCCCGCGAAAAGCUCUCACUGACCGCGAAAUUUUGAGCGUUGUACGAGUAAUUCCCUAUACUUAGGCAAAUUUUUCGAGCAAUACUCCUGCACUGCACAAACAAUUCCUACACAAAGCUCACAACUAGUUAGUUCAAAAGAAAGCGUAAUCCAAGGAGAAAAACAAAAAGAAAGAAAAACACAUGGGUUGCCUCCCAAGAAGCGCCUGAUUUAAUGUCGCGGCACAACGCAUGUUACUAUCAUUCACUUGAAAUGGAUCAAUGCCACCAUGUGGCUAUCAUCAAACUUACGAAGAUAGUGCUUCACUCGGUGCCCAUUAACUUUGAAGAUUUCACCAUUUUUGUUUUUCAAAUCAAGAGCACCAAACGGAGUUACAUGCACAACUUUAAAAGAGCCACUCUAUUUGACUUGAGCUUUCCCGGAAAUAGUUGUAACUGAGAGUUGAAUAGAAGAACCAAAUCACCCUUCUUGAAUUCCUUGUUCCAGGCAUAUUUGUCAUGUAAGUACUUCAUCUUGUCCUUAUACAAGGACGAGCUGGAAUAGGCAUGAAAGUAGAACUCAUCAAGUUCAUUUAGUUGUUCUACCCGAAGAUUGGCAACUACAUCCCAUUCAAGGUUUAGCUUCUUCAGCGCCCACAUGGUCGUGCUCUAACUCAACCGAAAGAUGGCAUGCUUUCCCAAAGACCAACUGGUACGGAAACAUACCAAUUAGAGUCUUAUACGCAGUUCUGUAAUCCCAUAAAGCAUCAUCAAGUUUCCUUGAUCAAUCAGUCCGGUUUACAUUGACAGUUUUUGAUAAUAUGCUGUUUAUCUCCCUAUUGGAGACCUCAACUUGUCCACUAGCCUAGGGAUGAUAAGGGGUUGAUACCUUAUUAUUGACACCGUACUUGGAAAGUAAAGUAUCGAAGGCCUUGUUACAAAAAAGAGGACCCCCAUCACUGAUGAUCGCCCUUGGAAUGCCAAACCAUGUAAAGAUAUUUUUCUUUAAGAACACAACCACACUACGUGCCUCAUUGUUGGGCAAAGCCACAGCUUCAACCCACUUGGAAACAUAAUCAACAACAACCAGAAUGUAAGUGUUCUUACAUGAACUCACAAAUGGCCCCAUGAAGAGUCGAUGCCCCACACAUAAAAAAUGUCAAUCUCAAGAAUAGUGUUGAGAGACAUUUCAUCCUUCUUAAAAAAAAAUCCACCAGCUCUCUAACACUCAUCACAUCUCUUAACAAGCUCACCAGCAUCUUUAUACAGUGUAGGCCAAUAAAAUCUACAGCUGAGAACCUUUGAAGCAGUUCUCGACUCACCAUAAUUAGCACUGUAGGGCGAGGAAUGGCAAACAUCAAAAAUACUCAUUUUCUCCUCUUCCGGAACAUAUCUACGGAUCACACCAUCAUUACAAAUCUUUAAAAGAUAUGGCUCAUCCCAAUAACAAUCCAAGCUGUCCUGUUUAAGCCUCGCCUCCUCUUCCAAACGGGACAAGUGGUCCGCUGUAGACAUGUAAUUUUUGACCCUCCCUGAGAUUUUACAUAUUUUAGCUUAAAUGUUUAGUUUAGGUUUAGUAUCGCCAUUCUAAAUAGUUUUGACGCUUUUACUUUAUUUUAUCACAAAAAUAAAAAUUACAAAAAUAUUUUUUUUAUUUAUUUAAUUAAUAUUUUAUCUAGUCACGUUUAAUUUUUCUACCUUACAUAAAAUUCAAAAAUACAAAAUUAGUUCUACUUUGUUUUUAGGAAUAUUAUUUUAAUUUUUGCGAUAGUUUUAAUCUAAUUCCAUUUUGGUCUUUUAGUGUGAUAUUUGAAAAAUACCAAAAAAUAAGUUUGCUUUAACGGUUAGUUUUAUUUUUAUUUUACUUAAGCAAGAUUAAUUAAGUAAAUGAGGUAGCUUUUUUUUAGUCUCGUUCAAGGAGAAAGAAUAUAAUUUGGGCUCAAACAACUCAUUUUUUAGGCCUAAUUUUCGGAUCCAGCCCAAAUAACCUUAGUCCAUAAUUCCUAUAAGCCCAAGACCAACCCUAAGACCCCUUCUUUUAGUCUUCUUAAGACUUAACACAAUAGAACCCUAGGGAGAGGGGCAGCCGUUUCUGAUGGUGAAUACACAAGACAACCAUCAUCUUCUUCACAAAAAAAUAAAAUAAACCUAAAGCCUAUCAUCUCUAACCUUAAGCUACCUUCUUCUUCAUGUUCCUUACACAAAAAACCUAGAGGUAGACCUAGCAGCUGCAGAAAGAAAAUGAAGCAGCAGCUAUACAAAAAAGAACUCCUCCAUAGCAGCCUAAAGCCACCAGCACACGCAAGAUCCAGCCGUCGCUCCAUCUCCCCCCAUCACCGCUCUUCCUCUUCACCUGUCACCAAACCAGCAGACAUCCUCUUUCUUCUUCAACCUAUUUCCCCUUCACAAAACCAGUAGCCCGCCGAAAAUUCACCGUUUCCGCACCAUCCCUACACACCACCGCAGCAGAACCGGCGAACACACACUCACUCUCUGCUACCAUUCCACCCUCUCACUUCUGCCGCUACCAUAAGUGGUUGAAAAUUCAGUAGAAACAGUGACAGAAACGUGAGAAUGGAGUGGAGACAGAGCCGAAAAAAAUACAUUAUUCUGCUUUCUUCUUCAGUGUUCCUUUGAUUUUCGUCUUAAAAUUGGAGUUCCGUCGGGUUUUCGGUCUGGUUUAUUCACUCAUGUGCGACUACUGUAAUCGAAUGGCUGACACUCUUUAAGGUUAAUUUCCUUCUUUGAUUUUUAAUUCUCCUCUUUAUUAAUCUUCCAUGAUUAUGAAUGUCGUGUAAUUGUUCUGUUGUUUCGUUGCUUGUCUAAAACUUUCUUCAUUUGAUUUAUUUAUGUUAUAAUCUUCAUUGAUGUGUUAUUCGUGAAAAGACAUGAAUUAAUGGUUGGAAUUU
rnacentral:lncRNA from 1 species